rnacentral:snoRNA from 1 species
UUCCCUGGCAAUGGGCAGAGAGACACCUUGUUGGUGGUGGUGUUCUUAUUGAUAUAAGUAGGGGCAGAGCGGAUGGCAGUCCUUUGUUCAUCCUGGCUUGAUGCCUGGCUUGGUGGGCAAAGCUGUCUUAUUCCUAGGACUAAUAA